UCUUCAACAGGCUCAAAAUUCUGUUUGUUUUUUCUUCAUUUUGAAGUAUAAUUCUCCAAAAAUAGCAUGAUUUUGUUGAUGAUAAUAGUCUGAGGCACCCGAUGGAUGCCCAUGAUGGUUUUUAUUUCUGGGUUUUGCUCUCUUUUUUUUUGAUCGAAAGAUUCUCGUUUUUUUAAUUAAAUAUGCAGUUCCAAUAAAAAAAUGUUUUUCUUCCUUUAUAGGUUUCAUUAUGUAAUUAUGGUCAAUUUUAUAAUCCCUAUGAUGAUCUUUUUAUUUUAUUUAAAAAGUUGAUAGGCCUGAUUUCAAUACGAAGAAUAUCUAAUCCUGAGGGAUAUAAUAUAUUUUUCAAAUUUCAUCUAGUCUUUUGUUGUAAAUUUUUUUUGUAGAUUAUUGGUGGGGUGAUUUCUUUGAGGCUUUUAGCUCUACUAUACUGCAUCCCGAUGAUGAUGACAUGCAUUGUUAAAAGUAGUGACUGAUUGAUUAAUGAUCUGUUGACGAUAAAUACAUGAUAUUGAGGGAUGCAAAAGGAAAUUUUUUUGUAUUGUUCAUCUUUGAAUACAUCUUUUGUUAACAUUAAUCAGAUUUGCAUCUUGUAUGCAAUUCUAUGUUUUAAUAAUGUUAGCAAUGAGGCCUGCUGGUUUUAUCCUACUGUUUUGCAUCCUGAUGAUGAUGAAUAUGCAUUGUUAAAAUUAGUGCCAGAUCGGUCUACGGAUCGGUUGAUGAUAUAUAGAUGCUGAGGGAUGCAUGUUUAAUGGAACUGAGCUAUGCCAUUGCUCAUUGUUGGAUGCUUUUUUAUCAGUGUUAACUGGAGAUUUAUUUUAUAGUAUUUUGGUGUCAUCAACUGUUGGCUGAUCAUCAUCUGAGGUCUAAUUAGCGUAAUGUUACCUGUUCUGCAAACAGGUUGGGGAAAUGACAGGUUUUGUGCAUGGUGAAACAGAGGUUACUCAAUUGUGCUCGACUGCUGCCAAAAUUGGCUGAAUUUUAAUGAAGCAACUCUGCCAACUUAGAACAAGAUGAACAUUUUGCUUGGAUCAAGAAUCUGGUGAAAAUUAGAAUACAAUUUAGGUAUCACAGAUGGAGGCGAUGCAACGAGGUUCAAACCGCAGGGCCAUCCUUUAGAAGCAGUCCUGUUUGCCAUCGUCUAUGUGCCAACUCGCAAUGGAUCAUCGGUGUGUGCAAUAAUGUGAACCGUUUCUUCUCCUGGAAUUUGUGUGAUAGCCAUCCUAUUGGAAGAGGCAAGCAAGCCUACAAGGAAAACAUUCUGAGAAUGAUUGAAGCAUUGUAAAAUGCAUCAUCAUCAUCACCAGGAAAGUCCAUGGACAACCCUCAGGCGACAAAGCAGGAUCAUAUUUAUACAUGGUCAAUACUGGAUAGGUAUCUUAGUGUAAUGGCCUAACUUGAAGCCAGAAAGCAAGUUGAAAGCUUGUAACCUUCACAGUUUAAUACUAUGCAGCUGUUGACAGGCUUAGCCUUAGUUUCUUGCAGUAAUUGCAGGAUUGUGCUGCAACUUUGAUGUUUGUGGUAUCGGUCCAUUUCAAAUAACACCCUUCAUCUUUUUCCA